rnacentral:rRNA from 1 species
UACGUAGGUGGCAAGCGUUGUCCGGAUUUAUUGGGCGUAAAGCGAGCGCAGGCGGUUUCUUAAGUCUGUUGUGAAAGCCCCCGGCUCAACCGGGGAGGGUCAUUGGAAACUGGGGAACUUGAGUGCAGAAGAGGUGAGGGGAAUUCCAUGUGUAGCGGUGAAAUGCGUAGAUAUAUGGAGGAACACCAGUGGCGAAGGCGACUCUCUGGUCUGUAACUGACGCUGAGGCUCGAAAGCGUGGGUAGCAAAAAGG